rnacentral:lncRNA from 1 species
AAUGCAAGACAACAACUACACUCAGGUAAAGGAUUGCUUGAAAUUUUUUGUUACAUUUCUUAACCAUACCUCAUCUCUAUGAUGGAACAAUUUGUUUUACAUGUACCAGAAACUGCACGGGGCUAGCAACGCUGAUGUUUUGCAGAUACUUUGAAGGAGAUAAUGACAUAUUCCCAGAGGUUUGUGUCGCAUAAUUAUUUAAAUUAGAAGAGUGGUACAUGUCAUUAUUGUUAAUUUUGACGAUGUGUACUUUUUUUGACACAGCUACAAGGUGAUGCAAACGAGUUCGCGUCUUUCAUACUCUACGACAUUCUUCAUCUCCGGGGAAACAGCGGUUAUCUUCCUAAGGAGUUCGUUCAGACGGUUAGCGAUUAACCAGCAGCGAAACUAAUAUCGAUGUUCGCUAAAGCGGCAAAAUGUGUUUGUUUGAGGCCAAAUAGAACCUUCAUUCCCGUGGUGUUCAACUUGUAAUUCACUGAUAAUUUAAGUAGCAGUCGUGUAUGUAAUUUGGAUAAUUUCCAUAAUUCAGUUAAGAAGUUUUUAU